rnacentral:rRNA from 1 species
CCAAUAGCGUAUAUUAAAGUUGUUGCAGUUAAAAAGCUCGUAGUUGAAUUUCGGGAUCAAAUUGUUGGUCGUGCUUCGGUACGCACUGGCAUUAUUGGUUCCUACCUUCUGAAGAACCGCGAUGUCAUUAAUUUGGUGUCGUGGGGAAUCAGGACUGUUACUUUGAAAAAAUUAGAGUGUUUAAAGCAGGCGUACGCUUGAAUACAUUAGCAUGGAAUAAUGAAAUAGGACGUUUGAUCCUAUUUUGUUGGUUUCUAGGAUCGACGUAAUGAUUAAUAGGGAUAGUUGGGGGCAUUAGUAUUCAAUUGUCAGAGGUGAAAUUCUUGGAUUUAUUGAAGACUAACUACUGCGAAAGCAUUUGCCAAGGAUGUUUUCAUUAAUCAAGAACGAAAGUUAGGGGAUCGAAGACGAUCAGAUACCGUCGUAGUCUUAACCAUAAACUAUGCCGACUAGGGAUCGGAUGAUGUUAAUUUUUUAAUGACUCAUUCGGCGCCUUACG